GGUUUAAACUAUCUUCAUGGGCAUAAUGUGGUUCACAGGUAAUUCAUGUGAGAUUAGUAUAAUAUGAGAAAGUUGUGGUUUCUGGAUGUAUUGAUCUGACCAUAAUACUUUCUUUGAGCAUUUUGCAACGUAGAACAAGUCAUCUAAAAAACAAAUGGUAAGUAGAAGAAGUUAAAGAAUUGUGGUUGCACCUUCACAAUGUCGAUCCAUUGUUAAUCUUUGCUUCAAUGGUUUUGUCAUUCGCAUCUCUAUAUUUCUCAUUUCCAGGGACAUUGAGUGCGCGUCUGAUAGAAUAGUUAUAUCUAAACUUAUUCUCAUUGAUCUAUGAAGGGACAUCAAAUGUGCAAAUAUUUUAGUGGAUGCUUAUGGAUCUGCAAAGCUUGCAGAUUUUGGAUUGGGAAAGAUAACCACCAAAAUGAAUGAAAUUAAAUCUUUUGCAGGGGACUGCAUUCUGGAUGGCCCCUGAGGUUUUUAGUGCGAAAAUGAAGAACCAAGUUAUGGGCCUCCAGCAGAUAUAUGGAGCCUUGGUUGGACUGUCUUGGAGAUGUUAACAAGGCAGGUUCCCUACCCUGGUUUGGAACCGGUUAGUGCCAUUUUCAUUACAAGUUUCACUCUUUAAAGUUCAUCAUAGUAUAUGAGGUGAUGCAUCUUUCAUGUGUAUGCUCAACAGUUUCAGGCAGUUUUUAAGAUUGCAAUGGGGGGGCUCCCUCACGUUCCUCAUUUUCUUUGUAAAGAGGCGCGCGAUUUCAUCCAUUGGUGCCUACAAGUUAAUCCAAACAAUCGACCUACUGCUGCUCAGCUCGUGUCAUCCAUUUGCCACAUCUAGGCCUAAGAAACCACCAAAUGUUUUGGAUCACUUGGAUGGUCUUCGUAUUCGGAUGAAGGGAAACGAACUUUAUGCAAGAGGGUAUUUCACUGGCUAUGAGUAUGAGAGCGUAGCCAUUUAGAUUAACUGAGCUGUUAGAGGCAGGAAACUCAUUCGAUUCAGAUUGUAAAGAUUUAAGCAUAGUGCCUAAAGAAUUUGUAUCGUUCCAAUUUUAUCGGAUGUCCCCGAUUUGUAAAGACACUGUUGUCAUAUAGACUAAGUCUCUUAUACUCGAUGUCAUAGGCUUAAUAAUGUU